CAGUAAGGCUGUAUUGUUCCAGCCAGUGAAACCUAAUUUUUAUCUCGCAGGCUUUUGCUUGUUUGGCCAGCAAGGAUUCUUUGGGUGUUUUAUUAGCCUGGUCAUGACUGAGCCCACUGAGAAGGAGAGCGAGAUUGCACCUUGUUUAAGAUGAACUGAACAAAAUUUGCAUGUCCUUCUGGCAAGGAGACUAGGACAAGCUGGUCAGCAAGGAGAACAGGCUGAGAGGACAAGAUCCAACCACAAGGAGAGAGAAAAUCAUUUUGUCAGGAUCAGACUGACCUGGUAAACCCUCAGUGCCUGGUGGAGUAAGAAUGACAAGUGAAGCAUCCUUUACCAGAUCUGAGGCUGGUGGCACUGCAAUGGGGCAACUGUUGGUCUGAGAUGCAAUUGUAGUCUAAGUCU